GACGAACGCUGGCGGCGCGCCUAACACAUGCAAGUCGAACGAGGUUCUUUUAGGAAGCUUGCUUCUUGGCUGAACCUAGUGGCGGACGGGUGAGUAACACGUGAGCAACCUGCCCUGGAGUGGGGGAUAACAGUUGGAAACGACUGCUAAUACCGCAUAACAUCCUCGGAUGGCAUCUUCCGAGGAUCAAAGGAGUAAUCCGCUUUGGGAUGGGCUCGCGCCCGAUUAGAUAGUUGGUGAGGUAAUGGCUCACCAAGUCUGCGAUCGGUAGCCGGACUGAGAGGUUGAUCGGCCACAUUGGGACUGAGACACGGCCCAGACUCCUACGGGAGGCAGCAGUGGGGAAUAUUGCACAAUGGGGGAAACCCUGAUGCAGCGACGCCGCGUGAGUGAAGACGGCCUUCGGUAUGUAAAGCUCUAUCAGCAGGGAAGAAAAUGACGGUACCUGACUAAGAAGCCCCGGCUAACUAUGUGCCAGCCGCCGCAGUAAGAC
rnacentral:rRNA from 1 species